rnacentral:lncRNA from 1 species
UCCUUUGUACUCCUCUUGGGAUCUAUAGGCUUCUUAGGAGCAGAAGAAUUCUUAGGAGCAGAAUCUUCACGAACAAAAUAAGAAUCUUCUUCAUCAAAGUUUAGCUUCUUCCUGAAACUGGUGGCUGUCUAGGGCAUGAGAUGGCAGCUAGGAGUACGUGGGUCAGAAGGGGUCCUCUCAGAACUAGUGCCUGAAUCAGAUUCAGCAUGGGGC